rnacentral:rRNA from 1 species
UACGUAGGGUGCGAGCGUUGUUCGGAAUUACUGGGCGUAAAGCGCUUGUAGGUGGCUCUAUAAGUCAGAUGUGAAAGCCUGGGGCUUAACCUCAGAAGUGCAUCUGAAACUGCAGAGCUUGAGUAUGGGAGAGGGCAUUGGAAUUCCUGGUGUAGUGGUGAAAUACGUAGAUAUCAGGAGGAACAUCGGUGGCGAAGGCGGAUGCCUGGCCCAAUACUGACACUGAGAAGCGAAAGCGUGGGUAGCAAACAGG